UACGUAGGGUGCGAGCGUUAAUCGGAAUUACUGGGCGUAAAGCGUGCGCAGGCUGUUUUGUAAGUCAGAUGUGAAAUCCCUGGGCUCAACCUAGGAACUGCGUUUGAAACUACAAGGCUAGAGUGUAGCAGAGGGGGGUAGAAUUCCACGUGUAGCAGUGAAAUGCGUAGAGAUGUGGAGGAAUACCAAUGGCGAAGGCAGCCCCCUGGGUUAACACUGACGCUCAUGCACGAAAGCGUGGGGAGCAAACAAGG
rnacentral:rRNA from 1 species